AACGAACGGCUGGCGGCGUGCUUAACACAUGCAAGUCGAACGCGAAAGGGACUUCGGUCCUGAGUAAAGUGGCGCACGGGUGAGUAACGCGUAGAUAACCUGUCUUCAUGUCUGGAAUAAUACGCCGAAAGGGGUACUAAUACCGGAUAUUCUUGCUUUUCAUAAGUUAUGCAAGCAAAGGUGGCCUCUGCAUAUGCUACUGCAUGAAGAGGGGUCUGCGUACCAUUAGCUAGUAGGUGGGGUAAUGGCCUACCUAGGCGACGAUGGUUAGCGGGUCUGAGAGGAUGAUCCGCCACACUGGCACUGGAACACGGGCCAGACUCCUACGGGAGGCAGCAGUGAGGAAUAUUGCGCAAUGGGGGAAACCCUGACGCAGCGACGCCGCGUGAGUGAAGGAAGGCCUUCGGGUCGUAAAGCUCUGUCAAGAGGAAAGAAGUGUACAAUGGCUAAUACCUGUUGUAUUUGACGGUACCUCUAAAGGAAGCACCGGCUAACUCCGUGCCAGCCGCUGC
rnacentral:rRNA from 1 species